rnacentral:rRNA from 1 species
AUGGAUCUUGGGCGCCUGAACUAUGGGGUCGUCACUCUUAUCCCCAAAGUACCGGGCGCGACGGACAUCCGCCAAUUCCGACCUAUCACUGUGAUCAAUGUGAUAUUCCGGAUCCUCGCCAAAGGGUACGCCAAUAGGGUGACGCUGCUAGCCAACUCGAUCAAUCACCCCAAUCAGUCGACUUUCAUUCAGGGUCGUUUUAUCCUGGAUGGGGUGUUGGUCUUCCACGAGGUCCUUCAUGAAGUCCGCUCCAAGCACCAACGGGCGGUCUUCCUGAAGCUCGACUUCCAUAAAGCCUAUGACACUGUUCACUAG